rnacentral:lncRNA from 1 species
AUAAAUCAAUUUUCCUAUAACAUGCCAUAACUUAGAAACUUUUUUCCAAGUGCUAUUUUUUUUUCUUCAAUAUUGUUCUGGACGUCUUGGAAAAGGUAGGUGGAGAAUAAAAGAAUCUUUAGGAUUGCAAAAUACAAUCUGAGGGGAUAGUGAAGAAAUUGAGACCUUUUCAAUGAAGGAGACAAAACCAAUUGAUAAUUCAUGUAAGGAUCCUUGAUGGAGCAGCAUCUAUGUGCCAACUUUUGGGCUGGGUGUUGGGAGACAAAGAAAAUGAGACCUAGUUUCCACCCUUGAAAAGCUCAGAGACAAGAGGAUAAUCAUUUCAAGUUUAUAAAGACUGUUAUUUAGAACUCUGAUAUUUGUGUCAUUCUUGGCUAACUCCUAUGCUUCUCUUUCUUGGAUCUCCUCUUUUUCCCCUUCUUUCCUUAUUUCCUUCCCUUCCCUAGACUUUAGGUCUGUGACUGGAGUGCACCAGCAUGGCAGGCUAGCUCGUAUGUAGAAUGGAAUCUCAUCUGAAACUCUGCCAGAAUACCAAGCCCCUCUCAUCUUACAUUUCAAGAGGGAAGAUCAGCUUGUACUUCUGGUCCUAGGAUUAUGACCGGUGCAUACAGAAAAAGCUUUAAGAUGGAAUCUCUAGGUCAUGAGUGCCAGAAACUGUGGUUUGUACAAAUUAUAGCUGAUGUGUGAGAUUUUUGUGCCCGGAGGUACAGUGGUCACUGUGUGACCACAAAGGGGGACUUGGUCAACAU